GUGAUGUUUGGGAAGGAGCAUGGGAGGAACAAUGCGUAAGAGGCACAAGCAGGACUGGGACAAAAGUAAAAUGUGACUUAGUGAACAUAAUGUCCUGUGUUCAGAUGGCAAAGAUACAUUGAGCCAUCCUAUGCAACCUGGCUGUUGAGCAUGCCCAGUUUGCCUAAUGUGGAUCCCCCGUAUCCUCUACUACAUGGGUGGGAAAGUCUUUUUUGAUUGACUGCCUGCAUCUUUAAAAGUGAUGAGACUGAGCUGUUCAUUCUCUUUUCUGAAUCUUUUGUCUGCACUCUCUUUUCUGCCAUCUUUCAACCGUGCUGGAGAUGAUACUCAGUACCUAGGAGUUCAAGCCAUGAUAACUUUGGAGCCAGGAUCGUAUGCGGGGUGGUGUAGUCAGCCAACAUGGCAUAGAAGCCCUGAGAAGCCAGAGUGAUUUCAUGAAGUUUCCUACCCUUCAUCCUGUCCCAGAUUAAUCUCACGACACUGAUGACUGCAGUUUAUUUCCUUUCCUACAUUUUGUGUCAAAAUCUCUUCAAAUAUUUAUAAGUUUUUGGACUAUCAACUACCACAGCCUGUAAAGUUUUCUCAGGACUGCACAUGGAGAAUAUGCACAUCCAGAGUGUGAAAAAGGAGAAAGAAACCCGCUAGUAUCCCCCACCAUACCUUGCAUUACAGGAAAGACUGGAAAUGGCCACAGGGGUGACAUUUGUCUAGACCAAAUAAAGAGACCACUUCUAAAAAGAGAAAAUAAGCUAUUACUUAAGAAGGGAUGAACCAUUGGUGGAGAGGAGCAAAUCAUAAAAUGUCAAGGUCAUUCAGUCACAUGAAAAGCAAGCAUUGAGCUGAUUGAAAGUACAAAAUGUGGGGGAAAGGUGAGAACAUUGAAGUGCUCUGAAUCACUGAGGUCAUCACACAAACCUCCCCACAAAUAAAGCACUACUAAAUUAAAACAUGGAAUUAAAAUGUUAAGGUGGUUAACCAUAACCUUUAAGAAUUUACAGUGGGUAGCAUUUCUAAUUCAAUUUUAAUGUGGUCAUCAAAACACACUACGUUAUAUACAAACUAUGGUUUAAAUUCUUUUUAUCUUAUUUCUGUGUUGAAAUUAUUUCUUUGUUGAAAACUGCAAGAAUGCAUACAAUAUCCUUUAGGAAAUUCAGUUAGUAAUACUUUGUUGAGUGGUAUAGUGGAAAGAGCUCGUGAUUUGGAACUGAUGGAACUGUACCUGAGUCUGGCUUUGUUACUACCUGUCUGAAUUUGGACAACUCACUUUAUAUACUCAACCCUUAGUUUCUUGAUCUGAAAAAUGAGAAGGCUGAAUAAGAUGACCAUUAAGGUCUCUUUUAGUUGCAGUCUCUUCAAUUAUUACCUUGAAAUGUCUCUGCUCCAAUUAAUUUAUUAGAUUAAUCACACCAAUCAUCUUCUGGUGAUGUUAUAAAGCUGAGAAUCAUGGAAGACUACAAUCUCUGAAGAAUUUAUGUUGCAGCCAACCCAAUGGGCAAUGGGAAGCUAACAGUGGCUAUGAGUAGUCUGCAACACACUAUAAACAAGGACAUGAGCUAAAAUCACCGGGGAUGGGCAGGCACAUGUAGGCCAAGAUCUGGAGCACUGGAGAGAGGCCACAGAUAGACUGGUGCAUUUGAGAAUGACAAAGCAAAUGCUGGCAUUGUCAGGGUUUUACAGCUGUAAAUUAGCUAGGUCUCCACGUAUGCAGAAUGGUAAAAUGAAUUGAAAAAGUCCAUACUUGGUGAGAUG